AUGCAACAAAUCAGAAAGAAACACACCACUCCACACACUAUCAAUAGACUAGGUUAUGCGAGACUCGAGGCUAAAAUGGAACGGAAAACAAAAGAAGAGAUUGAUAUAGUCGAAAUUUGGACAACGGGUGACAAACAGAAGGAAGGAAAGUAACCUAUUCCUGGUGUUGUGGAGGCUUUGGAAAAGAUUCAAAGAGCAACAGAAGAGCAUGGUGUUGAUGUUGGAUCAUCUGUGACAUAUGAUCUUCUUGCCAAAGCUCUUGGUGACGACAAACCAGGGAAACUGAGAGAAAUUGGGUAUGGAGCGACAAGGACAAAGA